rnacentral:rRNA from 1 species
GUAGUUAGCCGUCACUUUCUUGUCGGGUACCGUCAUUAUCGUCCCCGACAACAGGAGUUUACGAUCCGAAAACCUUCUUCCUCCACGCGGCGUCGCUGCAUCAGGGUUUCCCCCAUUGUGCAAUAUUCCCCACUGCUGCCUCCCGUAGGAGUCUGGACCGUGUCUCAGUUCCAGUGUGGCCGAUCAGCCUCUCAGCUCGGCUACCCAUCGCGGACUUGGUGGGCCGUUACCCCGCCAACUAUCUAAUGGGACGCGAGCCCCUCCCUCUGCGGAUUGCUCCUUUGACCUCAGAGCGAUGCCACUCCGUGGUCUUAUGCGGUAUUAGCAUCUGUUUCCAAAUGUUAUCCCCCUCAAAGGGUCAGGUUGCUCACGCGUUACUCACCCGUUCGCCACUAGGUACAAAACCGAAAUCUUGUACCCCGUUCGACUUGCAUGUGUUAGGCACGCCGCCAGCGUUCGUCCUGAGCACGAUACAACUACUGA